rnacentral:misc_RNA from 1 species
AGCACAUUCAAGCUCAGCUUGGCGAUGGGUGUCUGUCCCGCCUCUCGCGUGUGGACUCGCCUCAAAAACAGUUGGCAGCUUUAUCUUUCGGUCCCAAACGCAGCAGACUUGCGCUGGAAACCGCGGAGAAAGGCUCUCCAAUAAGCAAAAUGGUAC